rnacentral:rRNA from 1 species
AUUCCUGUGUUGCUUAGUACGGCGAGUGAAGCGGCAAAAGCUCCAAAUUUGAAAUCUGGCACCUUCGGUGUCCGAGUUGUAAUUUGAAGAAGGUAACUUUGGAGUUGGCUCUUGUCUAUGUUCCUUGGAACAGGACGUCACAGAGGGUGAGAAUCCCGUGCGAUGAGAUGCCCAAUUCUAUGUAAAGUGCUUUCGAAGAGUCGAGUUGUUUGGGAAUGCAGCUCUAAGUGGGUGGUAAAUUCCAUCUAAAGCUAAAUAUUGGCGAGAGACCGAUAGCGAACAAGUACAGUGAUGGAAAGAUGAAAAGAACUUUGAAAAGAGAGUGAAAAAGUACGUGAAAUUGUUGAAAGGGAAGGGCUUGAGAUCAGACUUGGUAUUUUGCGAUCCUUUCCUUCUUGGUUGGGUUCCUCGCAGCUUACUGGGCCAGCAUCGGUUUGGAUGGUAGGAUAAUGACUAAGGAAUGUGGCUCUACUUCGGUGGAGUGUUAUAGCCUUGGUUGAUACUGCCUGUCUAGACCGAGGACUGCGUCUUUUGACUAGGAUGUUGGCAUAAUGAUCUUAAGCCACCCUCUGAAAAAAGGGGGGAAAAAAAAAAAACAACCGAUAAAAAAAAAAAAAAAAAAAAAGAAAAAA